GGAGAAGUGAUUGACAGGACAGAGGGACGACUGAAUCCACAGUGGAGACCUCGCCGCCUAAGGAAGGAUGGAGGAGCACACAGGUGAAGGGAGAAAAGAAGUGAAACGCUUUCAGCACCCACGUUUCAGGUCAAAGUGACAUUUUAUUUCUUCGCCCCCACUGCCUAACAGGGUAGGGAUUAUUUCUCGCAUGUUACAGAUGAGGAACUGAAUUCAGGCAGGUGCCCAAGGCUACACGGUGCUUCCUGGCGGAAUGAGGAAUCUAGCUGGAGUCUGGCUUCCUCAAAACCCCUGGCCCCUGUAAACCUGCUGCCUCCAGCCCAGCUCAAAUCAUUGAUAUUCUGAUUGCAGCUCAUCAUAAACGGUAUUUACUCAAGUCCCACUGCUAAGGAUUAUUGAAGGAGAGGAAAAGAUCUUUUGAAAAUACCCUGUAACUCACAUUUUACCUGCCAGAUGGAACAGCCACAUUCCUGCAAAAAGAUCUCUUUGGUGUCUGGCUAACUAGAAGACCACUGGAUUCUGGCAUCGGAUUCUGCCUUGCAAAUUUCUGGCAACAGGCACUGGUCACCUAAGCCUGUUACCUGAGAGCCAUCUUCACUCUACCAAUGAGCGGGUCACCAAGUUCGGCUGAAUAGUCUGCCUGGCUUAUCUUCUGCCUGCCACUCACCAGCCCCAUGUCAGCAUCACGCAGGUGGCCAGUUUUCUUUUACAACUUGGUGGACUCAAAAAGAUGCGCAACCUAAAAGUUGAGAGUCAUGUGUUUAUUCAGUGGACAAAACUGAAGCCUUAAACCCAGGAGGCAGCAUCUCAAGUAACCCCAAAACGCCGCUCUGAGGAGGCAAGAGGAAGCUAGGGUGUACAGGGAAGACAGUGGCAACAGACAAUCACUGUUAAUAGACGAAACCAGAUAUCUCAAGUUAAGGAAUUUAGUGAUUUUCUCCAAAUGGGAAGAUGCAACGUUCUGGGCUCACUGAGAUCUUUCCUUUGCGGUACACCUCGGGUCUCUGGGGCCAGGGUCCUGUGUUCUCACAUCCUGGGGAGUGGCUGCAGUCUGAUGGCUGCUGGACAGCAGGUGUCUAUGCUUCCUUCCUGCCUCCCUCAGGGCUCCCCUGGAGGUGGCUGCCAUCGCUGAUGACUGAGACAUCUUUGUUUAUGGAUAAGGCAGGCGCUAUUUUAUGUCUCAGGUACCAAGUGGGACCCCGAAGUCUGGCUAACCCUGACUUCACGUGUUCUCAGGGUGUAGGUUACAAUCUUACGGGUCUUGGGUGUCUAAGCCUCACCCAACAGCAUCACAGGGUGGAGCGUUGCGGAGGGGAUGGCAGAGAGAAAAGGGACCAAGGAACAUUCCAUCAGCUUCCACCUGUGCUGCACUCAAGCUCUU
rnacentral:lncRNA from 1 species